AUUUUCCUAUAAAUAGGAUGAAGUGACCCCAGACUUGGUUAGUUACCUAGGCCAGAGUGCUCAGUUACCCUUCCUGUGAUUCUCUUCUUUCUCCCCAUGAUGACAAAAUAGCUGCUCUGGAUCCAGCACCACAUCCCUUAUGAUAUCAUCCAAACACAGGAAGGACAAGGCCAGCUUCCUCUUUGGGCCUCUUCCAUUUUGGUUCACCAGAAGAACCUCCCUAGCAGUCUUCCCCUCUCUCUCUUGGUCUGGAGUUGAGCUGCAUGCCCGCCCCAUGCCUAUGACUGGCUCAGAGUCAGGAGAGCCUGGCAGAGAGCCGGAGCUUAAGGACACAAGCUCAUCCCAGAUACCUUUCAGGUUGGGAGUUUCUUUCCCCAUACAUUUGGAGGUUUCCACUGAGAUCAUUGGAUGGAGACUUAAAGCUAUACGCCUACCCAAGAUGAAAACGCCUGGUGUCUCUCGAGGGCCUUUAGACAGACCCUCUGGAGAGUAUCCCCAACUGCCAAUCAACACCUAGGACCUCCUUCAGCCUGAAGAAGCCAGAGUGGUCACCGCCUGUUUUCCCUCAGGGCAGUUUGGGUUAGUUCUUCAGAGGGGGGAAUGUUGUAGGCAACCGAGUAGAUAGAAAUAUUAGAAAUAUUAUAGGCAGUCAGACAGGGCCAGGCCCUCGAAGGAGCCAGUGUGGAAGACCAGAUACCUUGCAACUGCAGGAGAGGCAGGCACUCCCACUGUGGGCCAGACCUCAAGACAAAAGAUGAAACAAAUGCGCCCACACACCUCCCCAGGGAUGGACAUCAGGGAUUGAUAUUCUAAAUAGGCAUCAAUCACCUUGAAAAAGCCAGGAAGAGUCAAUAACCCAACCAUCCAAAGGAAAGACCACUGUUCUGUAUUCAUGCCCACUUGCUAUGUGACUUGCUCCCCCAUUUGAUCCUGAUUUAAUCAAU